ACCCUCCCAGUGCUUACCACAGACAGUGCUCUUUGCGCUGGCUGUAUAGAAAGAGGAGGAACAGUAACUCCCCCCUUACCGCCCCCUCACAUGCAGGGCAGGGUCAUUCCGAUUCUGUCCUGCGGGGGGCGACACCGAGGGGGGAGACAACU